rnacentral:tRNA from 1 species
GGGGAGAUAUCCAAGCGGCUCAAAGGAGCCUGACUGUAAAUCAGGCGUUUAAUUACUUCGGGGGUUCGAAUCCCUCUCGCCCCA